CGCAGGUCCAGCCGAGCAGCUCUGGUCGCACGUCCGCCCCAGCGGGGGUUUAAGAAGAGCAGGAGUCUCCUUAUCAGUGGUGCUGUUUCAGUGUAACUCACUAAAGGUCAAGGCGCCUCACUCUCGCAAAUAAUGGUGCGUUCCAGUUGUAGUCGAGUUGCAAAGAUGAACUGGAACGAUUAGACAAAAUCAGACUUCCUUCCGGGAGAGUGGGAGCAACUGCAACUACACCCCAGUUACGACUCGUAAGGCCAACUGUGUGUUUCAACAUGGCCGCUCUUCGCGUCAACAAUACUGUUGCACAUCUCACACGUUUCCAGUCCAGUGACCCCCGCCACAGUGUUUAUGCUUUUUCUCUCAGACAUCGGC